UGGGGAAUUUUGGACAAUGGGCGAAAGCCUGAUCCAGCAAUGCCGCGUGUGUGAAGAAGGCCUUCGGGUUGUAAAGCACUUUUGUCCGGAAAGAAAAUCCUUGGCUCUAAUACAGUCGGGGGAUGACGGUACCGGAAGAAUAAGCACCGGCUAACUACGUGCCAGCAGCCGCGGUAAUACGUAGGGUGCAAGCGUUAAUCGGAAUUACUGGGCGUAAAGCGUGCGCAGGCGGUUUGCUAAGACCGAUGUGAAAUCCCCGGGCUCAACCUGGGAACUGCAUUGGUGACUGGCAGGCUAGAGUAUGGCAGAGGGGGGUAGAAUUCCACGUGUAGCAGUGAAAUGCGUAGAGAUGUGGAGGAAUACCGAUGGCGAAGGCAGCCCCCUGGGCCAAUACUGACGCUCAUGCACGAAAAGCGUGGGGAGCAAAACAGGAUUAGAUACCCUGGUAGUCCACGCCCUAAAACGAUGUCAACUAGUUGUUGGGGGAUUCAUUUCCUUAGUAACGUAGCUAACGCGUGAAGUUGACCGCCUGGGGAGUACGGUCGCAAGAUUAAAAACUUAAAUGAAUUGAC
rnacentral:rRNA from 1 species